GUCGACGAAAUGAUUUUGUGUCGAAACACAAAAAAAUAAUUUCGUCGACGAAAUUAUUUCGUGUCAAAAGACAAAAAAAUUUCGUCGACGAAAUGAUUUUGUGUUUUGAGUCUUUUUGACAUAAAAUCAUUUCGUCUCCUCUGUCUCGAAGGGGACAUAAGAAGGUCGCUGAUUGGCUGCACCUUGCUCAAGCUGUUUUCGCUCCGGGACGAUCACACUUUUUCACAGCUCAGAUUGGCAUGUUGGUGAACUUAUUAGCUUAGAUUUCACGUUAUUCAUGCCUACAUGAGCUGCAUACAACUGCUCUAAUCGGUAGGAUGUGGACGGACAUUGCAUUCAUUCCCAUUCAGCCGUUGGACUGAACCUGUACUGUCUGUAACACAGUAUGGAUGGUCAAUAUGAAGCGAGCUUCAUUGAAUUCCUCCAAGAGCUCUGUACUCCGUUCUGACCAUUUUGAAGAUGGUUGCUUUGACAGGACUGGGCAAGUGACUCGUCUUAGACAGGAUGCUGUCCCAACCAUGUUUGAUUUCCUGCCUCGUCUUCAGAAGAAUUCACCCAAGCCAAGGAAUUCCCCGAAAGAAAGACGUUUUGAUUCAGCAAACAACCUCCCAGAUACUGCAAAGUCUUCAGCACCUUCAUUUCUCGAGGACCACUCCUACUCAAUAUCAGAAAGUCCAAGAGAGGUAAAGUGGAAGAUAACAGCAAUAAUGGACUGUAUUAAGAACUUGGAGAAGAGGCUGAAAACCACACACGAGAAGUCCCGCCGUGUACAUUACUUGCUCUUAAGUUUGGACAAACAUAACUUGCAAAACUUUACAACAAAUAAUUACCCCAAUGUGCAUUCUGAUUAUUUAAAAUAGCUCAAUGAAAUAGUUUAUCAGUGGGCAUGUAACAAAAGUGAAUUCAUUAAAUUUGAACGUGUUGCAAAAAUGAUGUCUUACAGUAUAUUCAUUCUGACUUAGAAUGUCAGAAGAGAAAAAAGUUUGUGAAAAGUAGGAAUGACGGCAAGAUGACAGAAGAAUAGAACAGGAUAGAGCAAGGGGGACAGAUAAAGGACAAGUCCACCCCAAAAAUUGUUGAUAUGAAUAAAAAGAGAAAAAUCCAACAAGCAUAACACUGAAAAUUUGAUAAAAAAUCGGAUGUAAAAUAAAAAAGUUAUGACAUUUAAAAAUUUUGCUAAAUUUUACAAAAGAGUUAUAUGCACAUUCUGUACACAGUCAGUAUGCAAAUGAGGAGACUGAUGACGUCAUCCACUCACUAUUUCAUUUGAUAUAUAGAAUAAGGUAUAUUCUAAUUUUCUCCUUGUCAUGUUAAACAAAAUUUUAUUCCUCCCUGAUCAUGUGGAAUUAGCAUUAUUCAAUACUUUUUUGGUUCAGUAAAGUUUGUCCUUAUGGUAAAAUCUGUAAAAAAUGAAAUAUUGUAUAAUUCAAACAAUAAAAAACAAAAUAAACAGUGAGUGAGGGACAUUAUCGACUGUCUCAUUUGCAUGUCACUGAGUUGUGAAUAUUUUUGUUUUGUGAAAAAUAAGUGAAAAUUUAAAAUGCCAUAACUUUCUUAGUUUACAUCCCAUUUUGAUGAAAUUUGCAGCGUUAUGCUAGUUUGAUUUUUCUCAAUUUAACUGAACCAACAAUUUUCUUGGGUAGACUUGACCUUUACUAAUGAGCUGUUGGAUAGAGACAAAAAGAUGAAUUGAGAUUGAGGGUGAUAGAGAAAGAGAGACAGGUGUGGGGGAGCCUAUGAUGAAUGCCUGAGAAAGCGAACAUUACCAUAAUUUUUUUUUUGAGGAUUUGGACAGUAAUGAAAAGUACAUGUUUUUUCUGUUGGUAUUUCUCAAAAUAUGUGUAUGUUGUAUGUAAUGAAAUGGGUAUAAUCCUUUUGUAAGAUACACUCAUUCAGAAAAUAUUAACU